rnacentral:lncRNA from 1 species
ACCACUCGCACUGGACGCCACACACACAGCCAGGGUGGCAGAAGGCCCCACCUGCCAUGUGCCAGUGGGACACCACCCUCAUGGUCUGCGUUUCCAGGUUUCCAACUAAGGACUGAGCACACUCUCAACAUGGACCUCCUAACUGCUCUCGAGGAUGGACAGCUGGCCUCAAGGGAACACUGCAAAGUGGCUCUAGGAAGAAGCCACUGUCCCUCCAGACCAUAAAAAUGGCUACCAAGGGCAGAGCCAGCAGCUUUCGCUGUAAAGUUUCUCAAGAAAAUCACAGAUAUUCCCCUCUGUGAUGUUCAGCUCAGCCUGGAAAGGAGAGGUAGAAACUGAGAGUUGAAGAGGCUGAAUAAUUUCUCAAGCACACUCCCAACUCGACCACCCACAAGCAAAAAGGCAGAGCUGGGAUUCAAACACAGGUAUGACUGUGUGUGGACAUCUCCCCUGUGCUAUGCUCCCUGAAGGAAAAUUCUAAGUGGUGUUGUUUCUGGGAGAAAUCUACCUGUGUGGUCUUUAAACCUACUCUGACAGGAGCAAGGGCCACCACUCUGU